UGAGGAACAUGACUUUCGGCGGGGGAUAGCCGGCCCAACGGCCGGGUAAUACCGCGUACGACCUUUUGGGGACAUCCCCGAUUGGUGAAAGCAGCAAUGCGCCGAAAGAGUGCCUCGCGGCCUAUCAGCUAGUUGGUGGGGUAAUGGCUCACCAAGGCGACGACGGGUAGCUGGUCUGAGAGGAUGGCCAGCCACAUUGGGACUGAGACACGGCCCAGACUCCGUACGGGNGCAG
rnacentral:rRNA from 1 species